rnacentral:rRNA from 1 species
GCCUACGGGGGGCAGCAGUGGGGAAUAUUGCACAAUGGGGGAAACCCUGAUGCAGCGACGCCGCGUGAAGGAAGAAGUAUUUCGGUAUGUAAACUUCUAUCAGCAGGGAAGAAAAUGACGGUACCUGACUAAGAAGCCCCGGCUAACUACGUGCCAGCAGCCGCGGUAAUACGUAGGGGGCAAGCGUUAUCCGGAUUUACUGGGUGUAAAGGGAGCGUAGGCGGUAUGUCAAGUCAAGGGUGAAAUCCCCGCGCUCAACGUGGGAACUGCCUUUGAAACUGGCAAACUGGAGUGUGUGAGAGUAU